rnacentral:rRNA from 1 species
UGGGGAAUUUUGCGCAAUGGGGGAAACCCUGACGCAGCAACGCCGCGUGAGUGAUGAAGGCCUUCGGGUCGUAAAGCUCUGUCAGAGGGGAAGAAGUGCAGGGGUGCUAAUAUCAUCUUUGUUUGACGGUACCCUCAAAGGAAGCACCGGCUAACUCCGUGCCAGCAGCCGCGGUAAUACGGAGGGUGCGAGCGUUGUUCGGAAUUAUUGGGCGUAAAGCGUGUUUAGGCGGUUUGGUAAGU